AGAGAGAGACAUGCGCGCAUAUCAAUAAGCGGAGGAAAAGAAACUAACAAGGAUUCCCUUAGUAACGGCGAGUGAAGCGGGAAGAGCUCAAAUUUGAAAUCUUCAAGGUUUUACCUUGACGAAUUGUUAGUUUAAAGAAGUGUUUUCUGCUGAAGUUUUGGUAAAAGUUCUUUGGAAUAGGACAUCAUAGAGGGUGAGAAUCCCGUAUUUGACCAUUAUUUCCAGCUUUGUGAUACACUUUCAAAGAGUCGGAUUGUUUGGGAAUGCAGUCCAAAAUGGGUGGUAAAUUUCAUCUAAAGCUAAAUAUUGGCGAGAGACCGAUAGCGAACAAGUACCGUGAGGGAAAGAUGAAAAGAACUUUGAAAAGAGAGUUAAACAGUACGUGAAAUUGUCAAAAGGGAAGCGUUUGACACCAGUGUUGUUUUCUCGAAAAUCAAUUAAAAAUGGCUCGAUUUUGUAUUGCUGAGACCUUAAAAGCUCACUGUACAUUUUUCGUGUCUUUUUUAAUGCACUUUUCGUUUAACAAGUCAACAUCAGUUUCUUUUGUUGUAAAAGGGUCAUUGGAAGGUGGCUUUCUUUUCGGAGAAAGUGUUAUAGCCUUUGGCCUCUGCAAUCGAAGAGACUGAGGUCUGCAGCGUAGACUCUUCGGGGUUAGAUACAUUUGUGCUAAGUUAUAGCUUUUUAUAGACAACUUGUUGACUAUAAUUAGUCUUGUAGCUUACUCGCUUAUGCUAUUUUACCUACGCUUAGGAUGUUGAAGAUGUAGCACAUCA
rnacentral:rRNA from 1 species